rnacentral:tRNA from 6 species
GGGAGGGUGGCCGAGUUGGUUAUGGCGCCAGGUUAAGGUCCUGGUGGGGCAACCCGCGCGAGUUCGAGUCUCGUCCCUCUCA